rnacentral:rRNA from 1 species
AUUGAACGCUGGCGGCAGGCCUAACACAUGCAAGUCGAGCGAGCGGCGGACGGGUUAGGAAUGCUUGGGAAUUGCCCAGUCGAGGGUGAUAAACGUUGGCAACGACCGGUAAUACGGUAUACGAUUGGAUUGCCUAGGUGGGAUUAGCUCGUUGGUGAGGUAACGGCUCACCAAGGCGACGAUCCCUAGCCGGUGUGAGAGGAUGAUCGGCCACACUGGGACUGAGACACGGUCCAGACUCCUACGGGAGGCAGCAGUGGGGAAUAUUGCACAAUGGAGGAAACCCUGAUGCAGCCAUGCCGCGUGUGUGAAGAAGGCCUUCGGAUUGUAAAGCUCUGUCAGCGGGGAGGCGUUACUCACAGAAGAAGCACCGGCUAACUCCGUGCCAGCCGCCGCGGUAAUUC